CCUACGGGGGGCAGCAGUGAGGAAUCUUGCGCAAUGGGGGAAACCCUGACGCAGCAACGCCGCGUGAGUGAGGAAGGUUUUCGAAUCGUAAAGCUCUGUCAGGUGGAAAGAAAUGUAUGAAAGUUAAUAGCUUCCAUGCUUGACGGUACCACCAGAGGAAGCACCGGCUAACUCCGUGCCAGCAGCCGCGGUAAUACGGGGGGUGCAAGCGUUGUUCGGAAUCAUUGGGCGUAAUGAGCGUGUAGGCGGCGAAAGCCCUGGGCGUAACCCAGGAAGUGCAUUUGAUACUGUCUUGCUUGAGUAAGGGAGAGGAAAGCGGAAUUCCUGGUGUAGAGGUGAAAUUCGUAGAUAUCAGGAGGAACACCGGUGGCGAAGGCGGCUUUCUGGCCCUAUACUGACGCUGAGACGCGAGAGCGUGGGUAGCAAACAGGAUUAGAUACCCCAGUGGUC
rnacentral:rRNA from 1 species